rnacentral:rRNA from 1 species
UACGUAGGGUGCAAGCGUUAAUCGGAAUUACUGGGCGUAAAGCGUGCGCAGGCGGUUCUAUAAGACAGAUGUGAAAUCCCCGGGCUCAACCUGGGAACUGCAUUUGUGACUGUAGAGCUGGAGUACGGUAGAGGGGGAUGGAAUUCCGCGUGUAGCAGUGAAAUGCGUAGAUAUGCGGAGGAACACCGAUGGCGAAGGCAAUCCCCUGGACCUGUACUGACGCUCAUGCACGAAAGCGUUGGGAGCAAACAGG